GUCAGCGAUGAAGCAGCUUUAUGUUGCUCUCGUCAUUCUGUCGGUGUUAAGUCUCAUAGCCUAUUUCAUGAUACGUACUUUACCAGCAGACGUAUGUGCCGUUGAUAGUUUGGUUGGGUGGAUAAUGGAUAGGUCAGUAACAUUUAUAUAUAUGGGCGUUUUUCAAUAAAAGCGUUCCUUUCAGACCUAAAAAAAAUGGAAAAUCAACUAGUCUAACAUUUAUUUUCAAGAGUUAUUUUGAAUACCUCUAUUAUAGACCUGUUUGUAAACAAAAAGUGCAAUCUUAAAUACUCUUUUAAAAUGAUAUUAUUUUCAUAAUUUGUGUACUGUUUCGUAGGGGACUUUUGUCCCCUACGAAACUGCUUCUAAACACACAUAUUUUUGCAAUUUUAAAUGUUUCCUAUAGACAUUCCAGUUUGUUUACUUUAUAUACUAGAAAAUCUCAUUUUUUUCUGAAUUGGAGAACCAUUUUUUAUCGAUAAAGAUUAGACAGUACUUCACAUAUGAAGGUACAACUCAUGUUACGUAUAGUGGACAUUUUGAUGCGUUUCGUAGUUGACAAAACCGUUUCGUAGUGGACAAAAAGUUUCGUAGUUGAAAUCAAUCCUAUUCUAUGUUAAUAAAAACAUAAUAAAAAUUAAAUGAAACUAACCUUUGUUAUUUGCUUUGCACGAAUAUAAUUGAAAAAAGAGUAAAAAAAGACUGCAUGGUAGUGGUAGCGUCCACUACGAAACGUGUUUCUCCCAAACUUGUUUCGUAGGGGACGUAUUCACAUGUUUUAUUUUUUUCUCACAACCCCAAUAUUGCAAUAGUAACAAGACUGACUGUAUUCAUCAAAGCGUUAUUAAGCUGUACACUGAUAUUUUUUCAUAAUUUUUAAAACCAGUUACUGAAGGAGAUUUGACCCGUUUCGUAGUGGACAUUUACAAAAAUACGGUAUCACUCUGGUCCAUUUGAUGUGCUCAAUUUUUCUUACCAACAGUUUAAUUGCCGUUAUAAAAGCAUCACUUCUUUUGUAAGACCCUAAUGUUUAUAUCUCUUGCAAACAAAAAAUUACAUUGAUUUUAUAAAACUGUUUAUAAGCAAGUUUUAAUGACUUUGUUUCGUAGUGGACAUUGUGUUAGGGACACACCUUCUAAAAUAAAAAAUCCUAUGUUAAAAGCUGUUUAUUAAAAUAUGCUGGCUCUAAACAUACUUUUGAAUUAUUAAAGAACUUAUAUUAAAUAAAAUUAAUAUUUAUUUCUACAUUUUUUUACGAUAUUUGAGAGUAUGAAUGUUGAACAGGCGGUCUAGGGACAUGCCAUUUUGGUUGUUUUGGACCAUUCAGGAAUCAAUAUCUUAUCAAUCCCUCUAAAAAAUAAACUGUUUCUUUGCUUAAAAAUGUUAUAUCUAAUUCAAUGUACUGACUGCACAAAAAAUUUCUUGCAAAGUUCAAACACAUUUUUUUUAAAGUGGCUGGGACAAGAAAGUACGUUUUUAUUAAAAAAACGCCCAUAUAGCUCAUUUUUUAAAUUGGUUUCAGAUUGAAAUUCACAUCAAUCUGGACUUGCUUUCCCGUCUAAUCAGUAAUGCUGAAUUUAAUUAUUCUGAACUGCAUGAAAUAGUAAUUACUCCAAUAUUAUUUUGAAAUGUUCAUGAGAUUUUGAGGAAAAUAAUGUUUAUAAAAUUGCUGCUCUUCAAGCUUGAAAAUUGAAAACUAUGAUUUGAACUUAUGGGUUUCGAACCUGAUGUUCAGUGGUUGUCGUUUGUUGUUCUUCUUCUUUCAUACCACCUCUGGUGUAUUAUCGCACGUGGUUCUUAUGUGUUUCGUUUCUCGUUUUUCACGUAGAUUAGACCGUUGGUUUUCCUGGUUGAAUGGUUUUACUCUAGACAUUUUUGAGGCAUUUUAUAACUUGCUGGUCGGUGUGAGCACAUGGUCCGUGUUGAAGGCCAUACUUUGACCUUUCAUGGUUUAUUUUUUAAAUAUUGGGACUUGGAUGGAGAGUUGUCUCAUUGGCACUCAUGCCACAUCUUCUUGUAUCUCUAUAUAAUGUAUAAAAAAAGAAGAUGUGGUAUAAAUGCCAACGAGACAACUCUUUACAAGAGACCAAAUGACCAUGUAAUGACAGAAAUUAACAAUUAAGAGUCAACGUACGGCCUUCAACAAUGAGCAAAGUCCUUACCGCAAAGUCGGCUAUAAAAGACCCUAAAAUGACAAAUGUGAAACGAUUGAAACGAGAAAACUAACGGCCUGAUUUAUUUACAAUAUAAUGAACACAAUUAUAAGUUAUUUUCGUGCUUAAAGCGGUCAUUACCCUUACCUAGUAGAGUUAUAGGUGUCCUCUAUAAGCUGCGCUAGAUAGUGAAUAAUUCAUUUAGAUCAGUUGGUAGAGCGGUGGGUUACUGUGCGAUGGAGUUCCGCGACUACGUAAUCCCGGAUAGUAUAGCAAUACAUUUUGGAAGGAUACAGUUACAAAAAACUAAUCAUGGCCAGUAAAACAACCCACGUUUAGAAGAAAGUUUUCUUUUAUUUACAUGUGCACUUUUUUGAUGAAGCAAUUGUUAUCACGAAUGUCUCAUUUUAUUUACUUGAAAUAAAGGUUAAUUUCAAUAUACAUUUAAUGUUAUUUCAUAUAGGGGCAACUCAUGAUCCCUAGUUACUCGUGCGAUAUCUUCUCAUAUCUUAUUUUCAGCUACAUAUAUGUAUAUUUCAGUGAAUUCGUCGAAAACUUUUGUCAUCUCUAGUCUCUAUAGUGAACAGUACAGAAUACAAGUCCCAUAAAUCUGUUGACAGAGUUAGAAAAUGUAAGAACUGCAUGUUAUACUUAUUGUAUGUUUUUGCAGAGACAUAUGUCUCUGGUUUUUGGUAUUG
rnacentral:lncRNA from 1 species